AGGAUGAACGCUGGCGGCGUGCUUAGCACAUGCAAGUCGAACGAUGAAGGCUGGAGCUUGCUCUGGCUGGAUUAGUGGCGAACGGGUGAGUAACACGUGAGUAACCUGCCCCAGACUCUGGGAUAAGCGCUGGAAACGGCGUCUAAUACCGGAUACGAGCUUCCACCGCAUGGUGAGGAGCUAGGAAAGAAUUUCGGUCUGGGAUGGACUCGCGGCCUAUCAGCUUGUUGGUGAGGUAAUGGCUCACCAAGGCGGCGACGGGUAGCCGGCCUGAGAGGGUGACCGGCCACACUGGACUGAGACACGGCCAGACUCCUACGGGAGGCAGCAGUGGGGAAUAGUUGCACAAUGGGCGGCAAGCCUGAUGCAGCAACGCCGCGUGAGGACGAAGGCUGGUGUAACUCUUUAGUAGAAGAAGAGAGUGUUAU
rnacentral:rRNA from 1 species